CUCUAGCAAAUGCUUUAUUUCAAAUGUUUACUUUAAAAUGAAAUUACAUUUCUAUAAGUCAAACUCUCUGUAGUUGAUAUGUUCUAAAUUGAAAGUAUGACACAGUUGCUAAAAAGUUGGCAAUACCAUUCAUUUUGCCCACUGCUUUUCUUUCAAGAUUUGAAACACAUGCAACCCAUCUCCCUCUCCCCAGCACUGAUGUCUGUUUGUAGUUGCAGUGGGUGGUCGCAAGCCUGUAAGAGGACUACCAGAAGAGAGCCCUCCCAAGACUGGCAACAUGCUGCUGGACUUCCAGGAGAAUGUCUCCUUGAAGGAAAAAAUGGCUCUGUAUCAGGCUGCUGUGUCCAAGGCAGAGAGCAGCAACUGCUUUGCCAAUAUUUCAGAGAAAAACAAGUCCUGCACUGUGCCUGGAGGCCUAGCUGCAGUGAGGAAACAGUUUGAGAAAGGGCAGAUGACCUCUUCAAAGAUCACCUUUGCUCGCUCCCAGCACCAGCACAAAUCUGCACAGGUAACGAUAGCAUUUUUAGUACUAAAAGAUAUAUGCCCUGCUAAAGAGUUGGUGGGAAAAAUAUGCUUCAUUGAAGAAUUUUCAUUAUAAUUAAGACAAUGUUUCCAUAGUGUUCAUAUUCUCAGAAUUUUCUCUUCGAGGAUGUACUACAGUACACGUGCAGCAAUCUGCAUGUCUUAAAGCAUAUUUAUGAUAUAACCAACCAAACAAAAAACACAACCACCAGAUAUCAGAAAUGAUGCAGUAUGACACGUCUAGGAUACACAACAGCAUAGUAAAGCAGAGUUUAUCUGGAGGAUGGAUGUUGUGCCCCUGUUGCCUAAGCAAAGAAUAAAUUAACUCAGUCACUGCA
rnacentral:lncRNA from 1 species